GGAAGGAUCAUUACCGAGUGAGGGCCCUCUGGGUCCAACCUCCCACCCGUGUUUACCAUACCCUGUUGCUUCGGCGGGCCCGCCCUCAGCGGCCGCCGGGAUGGCCCCUUGGGCCUCCGGGCCCGCGCCCGCCGAAGACACCUGUGAACGCUUCUAUUGAAGAUUGCAGUCUGAGUGAUUUUUUCCAAAUCAAUCAAAAACUUUCAACAACGGAUCUCUUGGUUCCGGCAUCGAUGAAGAACGCAGCGAAAUGCGAUAAGUAAUGUGAAUUGCAGAAUUCAGUGAAUCAUCGAGUCUUCGAACGCACAUUGCGCCCCCUGGUAUUCCGGGGGGCAUGCCUGUCCGAGCGUCAUUGCUGCCCUCAAGCCCGGCUUGUGUGUUGGGUCGCCGUCCCCUCCUUUCCCGGGGGGGACGGGCCCGAAAGGCAGCGGCGACUUCGCGUCCGGUCCUCGAGCGUAUGGGGCUUCGUCACUCCGCUCUGGUAGGAACGGCCGACAGUCUGCCGACUCUCCAACCUUCUUUUUUUCCAGGUUGACCUCGGAUCAGGUAGGGAUACCCGCUGAACUUAAGCAUAUCAAUAAGCGGAGGAAAAGAAACCAACCGGGAUUGCCUCAGUAACGGCGAGUGAAGCGGCAAGAGCUCAAAUUUGAAAUCUGGCCCCUCCGGGGUCCGAGUUGUAAUUUGCAGAGGAUGCUUCGGGUGCGGCCCCUAUCUAAGUGCCCUGGAACGGGCCGUCAUAGAGGGUGAGAAUCCCGUCUGGGAUGGGGUGUCCGCGCCCGUGUGAAGCUCCUUCGACGAGUCGAGUUGUUUGGGAAUGCAGCUCUAAAUGGGUGGUAAAUUUCAUCUAAAGCUAAAUAUUGGCCGGAGACCGAUAGCGCACAAGUAGAGUGAUCGAAAGAUGAAAAGCACUUUGAAAAGAGAGUUAAACAGCACGUGAAAUUGUUGAAAGGGAAGCGCUUGCGACCAGACUCGCCUGCGGGGUUCAGCCGGCCUUCGGGCCGGUGUACUUCCCCGCAGGCGGGCCAGCGUCGGUUUGGGCGGCCGGUCAAAGGCCUCCGGAAUGUGUCGCCCUUCGGGGCGUCUUAUAGCCGGAGGUGCAAUGCGGCCAGCCUGGACCGAGGAACGCGCUUCGGCACGGACGCUGGCGUAAUGGUCGUAAGCGACCCGUCUUGAAACACGGACCAAGGAGUCUAACAUCUACGCGAGUGUUCGGGUGUCAAACCCGUACGCGCAGUGAAAGCGAACGGAGGUGGGAACCCCUCGGGGUGCACCAUCGACCGAUCCUGAUGUCUUCGGAUGGAUUUGAGUAAGAGCGUAGCUGUUGGGACCCGAAAGAUGGUGAACUAUGCCUGAAUAGGGCGAAGCCAGAGGAAACUCUGGUGGAGGCUCGCAGCGGUUCUGACGUGCAAAUCGAUCGUCAAAUUUGGGUAUAGGGGCGAAAGACUAAUCGAACCAUCUGGUAGCUGGUUCCUGC
rnacentral:misc_RNA from 1 species